rnacentral:rRNA from 1 species
AGGGUGCAGGGCGGAUGCCUUGGCACUAGGAGCCGAUGAAGGACGUGAUAAGCUGCGAUAAGCUUCGGGGAGUUGCACGUAAACUUUGAUCCGAAGAUUUCCGAAUGAGGAAACUCACUUAGAGUAAUGUCUAAGUAUCAUUAAGUGAAUACAUAGCUUAAUGAGGGGAACUCAGGGAACUGAAACAUCUAAGUACCUGAAGGAAGAGAAAGAAAUUCGAUUCCGUAAGUAGCGGCGAGCGAACGCGGAUUAGCCCAAACCAAUAAAGUUUUCUUUAUUGGGGUUGCGGACAUAUCAUAACGAAGAGGUAUCGUAAUUGAAGAGGUUUGGAAAGACCCACCACAGAAGGUAAUAGUCCUGUAUGUUAAACGAGAAGACUUUAGAUAUGAUCCAGAGUACCACGGGACACGUGAAACCCUGUGGGAAGCAGGAGGGACCACCCUCCAAGGCUAAAUACUACCUAGUGACCGAUAGCGUAUAGUACCGUGAGGGAAAGGUGAAAAGAACCCCGGGAGGGGAGUGAAAUAGAACCUGAAACCCUGCACUUACAAGCUGUGGAAGCACAUUUCUUGUGUGACCGCGUACUUUUUGUAGAACGGGCCAACGAGUUACGUUAAGUAGCAAGGUUAAGCACUUAAGGUGCGGAGCCGUAGCGAAAGCGAGUUUUAACUGAGCGUUCAGUUACUUGACGUAGACCCGAAACCGGGCGACCUACCCAUGAGCAGGAUGAAGCGAAAGUAAAAUUUCGUGGAGGUCCGAACCCACGAGCGUUGAAAAGCUCGGGGAUGACUUGUGGGUAGCGGUGAAAUUCCAAUCGAGCCCGGAGAUAGCUGGUUCUCCCCGAAAUAGCUUUAGGGCUAGCCUCAAGGUGAGAGAUACGGAGGUAGAGCACUGAAUGUCCUAGGGGGUAUUGCACCUACCGAAGACUAUCAAACUCCGAAUGCCGUCAUCUUAUACUUGGGAGUCAGACUGUGGGUGAUAAGAUUCAUAGUCGAAAGGGCAACAGCCCAGAUCGUCAGCUAAGGUCCCUAAAUGUAAGUUAAGUGGUAAAGGAUGUGGGAUUGCACAGACAACCAGGAUGUUGGCUUAGAAGCAGCCACUCAUUCAAAGAGUGCGUAAUAGCUCACUGGUCGAGUGAUCCUGCGCCGAAGAUUUCCGGGGCUAAAACUUACUACCGAAGCUACGGCAUCAGUAAUGAUGGGUAGGGGAGCUUCCCAUACGGGUUGAAGCAUGACCGUAAGGACAUGUGGACAGUAUGGGAGUGAGAAUGUUGGCAUGAGUAGCGAGAUGUGGGUGAGAAUCCCACAGGCCGUAAACCCAAGGUUUCCAGGGGAAGGUUCGUCCGCCCUGGGUUAGUCGGGACCUAAGCUGAGGCCGAAAGGCGUAGGUGAUGGACAACAGGUUGAUAUUCCUGUACUACCGAUAACCGUUUGAGAGAAGGGAUGACACAGUAGGAUAAGCUAAGCACACUGUUGGUUAUGUGUGCCCAAGCAUUGAGGCAGUCAAAGUAGGCAAAUCCGCUUUGAUAAUGCUGGGAUGUGAUGGGGAGCGAAAUUUAGUAGCGAAGUAGCUGAUUUCACACUGUCAAGAAAAGUCUCUAUCGAGGUUAAAGGUACCCGUACCGCAAACCGACACAGGUGGGUGAGGAGAGUAUCCUAAGGCCAGCGAGAGAACUGUUGUUAAGGAACUCGGCAAAAUGACCCCGUAACUUAGGGAUAAGGGGUGCCACCAUCAGGUGGCCGCAGAGAAUAGGCCCAAGCGACUGUUUACCAAAAACAUAGGUUUCUGCUAAGUCGCAAGACGAUGUAUAGGAGCUGACGCCUGCCCGGUGCUGGAAGGUUAAGGGGAUCUGUUAGAGCAAUCGAAGCAGUGAACUUAAGCCCCAGUAAACGGCGGCCGUAACUAUAACGGUCCUAAGGUAGCGAAAUUCCUUGUCGGGUAAGUUCCGACCCGCACGAAAGGCGUAACGAUUUGGGCACUGUCUCAACAACAGACUCGGUGAAAUUGUAAUUCCGGUGAAGAUGCCGGAUACCUGCGACAGGACGGAAAGACCCCAUGGAGCUUUACUGUAGCUUGACAUUGGGUCUUGGUACUACAUGUACAGGAUAGGUGGGAGGCUUUGAAACCAGGACGCCAGUUUUGGCGGAGCCAUCCUUGGGAUACCACCCUUGUAGUACUGGGACUCUAACCAUAGGCCAUGAAUCUGGUCUUGGGACACUGUCAGGUGGGCAGUUUGACUGGGGCGGUCGCCUCCCAAAAGGUAACGGAGGCGCUCAAAGGUUCUCUCAGUACGGUCGGAAAUCGUACGUAGAGUGUAAAGGCAAAAGAGAGCUUGAUUGCAAGACAUACAGGUCGAGCAAGGAUGAAAAUCGGACUUAGUGAUCCGGUGGUUCUGCGUGGAAGGGCCAUCGCUCAACGGAUAAAAGCUACCCUGGGGAUAACAGGCUUAUCUCCCCCAAGAGUCCACAUCGACGGGGAGGUUUGGCACCUCGAUGUCGGCUCAUCACAUCCUGGGGCUGUAGUAGGUCCCAAGGGUUGGGCUGUUCGCCCAUUAAAGUGGUACGCGAGCUGGGUUCAGAAC